rnacentral:lncRNA from 1 species
GCACAUAUACGACGUACGAGCGAGAUUAGAUGUCGAAGGAGUUCUUGCCGGUGAACUUGACCUCGAUGGGGCUGACGUUCUUGCCGAUGCUGCGGAAGUUCUGUCCCACGCCCUGCCUGCCGGCGUUGACCUUCUCCGGGUAGACGCCGUCCUUGGGGUGGAGGUACUGCACCUCGCCGUUGGGGAAGACGCGGUAGAACUGGUAGGCGAUCUUGUACUUGGAGCGGAGGCGGUUGCCGAGGGCGAGGCACUGCUCCUUGCGGGCGAGCUUGAGGAGGUUGGGGCCCUCGCGCAUGAUGGCGGCGCCGCCGGUGGGCAUCUCGAAGACCUGCUCCUUGGGGGA